rnacentral:rRNA from 1 species
UACGUAGGGUGCAAGCGUUGUCCGGAAUUAGUGGGCGUAAAGAGCUCGUAGGCGGUUCGUCGCGUCGGCUGUGAAAACCUGAGGCUCAACCUCAGGCCUGCAGUCGAUACGGGCGGACUUGAGUACUGCAGGGGAGACUGGAAUUCCUGGUGUAGCGGUGAAAUGCGCAGAUAUCAGGAGGAACACCGGUGGCGAAGGCGGGUCUCUGGGCAGUAACUGACGCUGAGGAGCGAAAGCGUGGGGAGCGAACAGG